rnacentral:rRNA from 1 species
AUUGAACGCUGGCGGCAGGCCUAACACAUGCAAGUCGAACGAGUGGCGGACGGGUGAGUAAAGCCUGUGAAACUGCCUCAUGGAGGGGGAUAACUACUUGAAACGGUAGCUAAUAACGCAUACCCUCGGAUGUGUCCGGAUGGGAUUAGCUAGUAGGUGGGGUAAAGGCUCACCUAAGCGACGAUCCCUAGCUGGUCUGAGAGGAAGACCAGCCACACUGGAACUGAGACACGUUCCAGACUCCAACGGGAGGCAGCAGUGGGAAAUAUUACACAAUGGGCGCGAGCCUGAUGCAGCCAUGCCGCGUAUAUGAAGAAGUCCUUCGGGUUGUAAAGGACUUUCAGCGGGGAGGCGUUACCCGCAGAAGAAGCACCGGCUAACUCCGUGCCAGCAGCCGCGGUAAUAC